rnacentral:tRNA from 1 species
CGUAGCUCAGUUGGGAGAGCGCGGGCUUUGCAAGCCUGAGGUCGUGGGUUCGAUCCCCAUCGUCUCC